AUAAUAUUCCCUCCGUCUCAAAAUUUUUGUUUUAGAUUUGUCUAAAUACAGAUGUAUCAAGUAUACGGAUAUAUUAAGUCACGUUUUAGUAUUAAAUACAUCCGUAUCUAGGUAAAUAUAAGACAAGAAUUUUGAGACGGAGGGAGUAGUAC
rfam:Triticum urartu cultivar G1812 contig1171740, whole genome shotgun sequence.